rnacentral:misc_RNA from 1 species
AAGCCGCGAAAUGUAGUGUGAAUUGCAGAACCCCAGUGAAUCAUCGAAUCUUUGAACGCACCUUGCGCUCUGUGGUAUUCCGCAGAGCAUGCCUGUCUGAGUGUCGCGCUCGUCUCAACCCUCUCCCAUCUAUGAUGAGAGAGCGGCUUGGAUCUUGGCCUUGACCUGUCGACCUUGAGUGGUCGAGGGCCGAAAUGCGACUCAGCGUCCCUGUCUCCGCUCGUGAUUGCGCAAGCGUCACCGGAAUCGAUUGUACGCAGUCUUGAUUCUGGCAGGGCGGAAAGCAGCCGCUUCGAACUUCCUCUUUGAACUUCGACCACAGAUCAGGUAGGACGACCCGCUGAACUUAA